rnacentral:sRNA from 12 species
AAUCGGAGACCCUAUACGCCUACGAGUUGGGCAAUUAUAUUCUCCGAGGGGUUCGCGCCUCGGCAAAAGCAUUAUAAUAUAUUAUUUAUGGAAAGCCGGAACAUAUCUUUUAACCACAAAGUGAGGAGGGUUUCAUAUCCUCCUCACGGGACCGGAAGGCGGU